GUGUUCAAUAAUGAGAUGUCACCAAAUGAUGAAGACGCUUCGGCAGAGGAAUCGGCACCAUACACAUUCUGUUCGUGUUCAUCCUGACGAUGGUUGUCGCUGUGGCAUUUGGAGUGGUCCUUAUGGUGUACAACGACAUUUGGAAAAUAUGAAACACGCAGCCCUGCGAAACACAAGGCCAGCUGCGACGCUACCCUGAGAAAAUGGGGC